UUUACCCUACAGGACAGUGAAGAGGAAAGGUCAGCCCCACGGCUCAACCAGCACCAUGUGCUUUACACUACAGGACAGUGAAGAGGAAAGGUCAGCCCCACGGCUCAACCAGCCCCAUGUGUUGCACCCUACAGGACAGUGAAGAGGAAAGGUCAGCCCCACGGCUCAACCAGCACCAUGUGUUGCACCCUACAGGACAGUGAAGAGGAAAGGUCAGCCCCACGGCUCAACCAGCACCAUGUGUUGCACCCUACAGGACAGUGAAGAGGAAAGGUCAGCCCCACGGCUCAACCAGCACCAUGUGUUGCACCCUACAGGACAGUGAAGAGGAAAGGUCAGCCCCACGGCUCAACCAGCACCAUGUGCUUUACCCUACAGGACAGUGAAGAGGAAAGGUCAGCCCCACGGCUCAACCAGCACCAUGUGUUGCACCCUACAGGACAGUGAAGAGGAAAGGUCAGCCCCACGGCUCAACCAGCACCACGUGUUGCACCCUACAGGACAGUGAAGAAGAAAGGUCAGCCCCACGGCUCAACCAGCACCAUGUGUUGCACCCUACAGGACAGUGAAGAGGAAAUACCAUACUCCAUCAACACCAAUCUGAAAUAACUGAAACGCCUCUAUGGUGGUGAA